rnacentral:rRNA from 1 species
UAGGGAAUCUUCGGCAAUGGACGAAAGUCUGACCGAGCAACGCCGCGUGAGUGAAGAAGGUUUUCGGAUCGUAAAACUCUGUUGUUAGAGAAGAACAAGGACGUUAGUAACUGAACGUCCCCUGACGGUAUCUAAUCAGAAAGCCACGGCUAACUACGUGCCAGCAGCCGCGGUAAUACGUAGGUGGCAAGCGUUGUCCGGAUUUAUUGGGCGUAAAGCGAGCGCAGGCGGUUUCUUAAGUCUGAUGGGAAAGCCCCCGGCUCAACCGGGGAGGGUCAUUGGAAACUGGGAAACUUGGGUGCAGAAGGGGGGAGUGGAAUUCCAUGGGGUGCGGUGAAAUGCAUAGAUAUAUGGAGGAACACCAGUGGCGAAGGAGGCUCUCUGGUCUGUAACUGACGCUGAGGCUCGAAAGCGUGGGGAGCAAACAGG